rnacentral:rRNA from 1 species
AGUCGCAAGCUCGCGAGAGUAAGCUAAUCUCUUAAAGCCGUUCUCAGUUCGGACUGUAGGCUGCAACUCGCCUACACGAAGUCGGAAUCGCUAGUAAUCGCGGAUCAGCAUGCCGCGGUGAAUGCGUUCCCGGGUCUUGUACACACCGCCCGUCACACCACGGAAGUUGGGGGCGCCCGAAGCCACUUAGCUAACCCAUUUGGGAAGCGAGUGUCGAAGGUGAAAUCAAUAACUGGGGUGAAGUCGUAACAAGGUAAC